rnacentral:rRNA from 1 species
UCAGACCCGUGGCAAAUAGCUCAGUAGCACGUGGCCAAUCUACCCUCCGGAUCAGUACACCCUCGGGAAACUGAGGCCAAUUCUGUAUACGGCUCCCGACCUGGAAUGGUGGGAGCCCGAAACGCUCCGGCGCCGGAGGAUGAGGCUGCGGCCGAUUAGGUUGACGGUGGGGUAAUGGCCCACCGUGCCGAUAAUCGGUCUGGGUCGUGAGAGUGAGAACCCGGAGACGGAAUCUGAGACAAGAUUCCGGGCCCUACGGGGCGCAGCAGGCGCGAAACCUUUACACUGCACGCCAGUGCGAUAAGGGGACCCCAAGUGCGCAGGCAUAGUGCCUGCGCUUUUCUGGACUGUAGGGCGGUCCAGGAACAAGGGCUGGGCAAGACCGGUGCCAGCCGCCGCGGUAAUACCGGCAGCCCAAGUGAUGGCCGCUGUUAUUGGGCCUAAAGCGUCCGUAGCUGGCCGCACAAGUCCGUCGGGAAAUCCGCCUCGCUCAACGGGCGGCCGUCCGGCGGAACCUGUGUGGCUUGGGACCGGGAGGCCUGAGGGGUACGAUCGGGGUAGGAGUGAAAUCCUGUAAUCCCGCUCGGACCGCCGAUGGCGAAACCACCUCAGGAGAACGGAUCCGACAGUGAGGGACGAAAGCCAGGGUCUCGAACCGGAUUAGAUACCCGGGUAGUCCUGGCCGUAAACGAUGCUUGUUAGGUGUGACUCCCACUACGAGUGUCUGUUGUGCCGUAGGGAAGCCG